rnacentral:rRNA from 1 species
UACGUAGGGGGCAAGCGUUGUCCGGAUUUAUUGGGCGUAAAGAGCGUGUAGGCGGCUAGGUAGGUCCGUUGUGAAAACUCGAGGCUCAACCUCGAGACGCCGAUGGAAACCAUCUAGCUAGAGUCCGGAAGAGGAGAGUGGAAUUCCUGGUGUAGCGGUGAAAUGCGCAGAUAUCAGGAAGAACACCCGUGGCUAAGGCGGCUCUCUAGUACGGUACUGACGCUGAGACGCGAAAGCGUGGGGAGCGGACAGG